rnacentral:rRNA from 1 species
UACGUAGGGGGCAAGCGUUGUCCGGAUUUACUGGGCGUAAAGGGCGCGUAGGCGGCGCAACAAGUCACUUGUGAAAUCUCCGGGCUUAACCCGGAGCGGCCAAGUGAUACUGUCGUGCUAGAGUGCGGAAGGGGCUACUGGAAUUCUCGGUGUAGCGGUGAAAUGCGUAGAUAUCGAGAGGAACACCUGCGGCGAAGGCGGGUAGCUGGGCCGACACUGACGCUGGAUGCGCGAAAGCCAGGGAGCGAAGCGGG